rnacentral:snoRNA from 1 species
UUGGCCCUGAAUCAAAGCCGGCAGUUUUGCUGAAGCUGCUGGUUUCAAACAGGAGCCUAAAGUAAUGUCUUUCUGUAGUCUGUUGGCCUUAGGAAGUUCAGACAUUUGGAAAUGUGAUAGUCAAUGCAUUUGAAAGAAACAUUG